GACUGUACUCUAGCUAUUUGAAAUCAAUUAUCAAACUACAAAACACCAAGGCUUACUACUUCUGUCUUAAUUCAACACAUAAUCCAUUCUAUGACUAUUAAUUCAACAAUACUUCUAUAUUCUUAUUAGUUCAUCUUCCACUUACUUUCUUCGCAGUUUAUUUAUAUUCAAUUACUGAUCUUCAACUUACUUAUUAUAUUUAUUUUCUCAAUUCAUCACAUAGAAUUCAAUAUCUUCACUUAACAUAACACAAUUUGCUAAUCUCAAUUCUCAAGGUCACAGAUUUUCUCCAAAAUGGUCAAUUCAAAGUCAUAUUCUAUAAUAUUCUAAUCACAGUUUCAACAAUACUUCUCUCAAUCACAAUUUUUCAUAAGCAAAUAAUAAAAAUAAAGAAAAUAAAGAGGUAGCACCAAUCUUACUCUGGCUUAUGACUCUCACAAUUUGGCCCCGAUCUCCUUUUUCUCAACCUCUUUAUCCUACCAAAAGAUGGACCGUAGGCCAACAGAUUCCAAAGAUUAUAAACUUUUGAAUUCUUAACUAUUUGUUCCACUAACAACCUAUUGUUACCAACUAAACUACCUAACCAUAAGUCUAAUUCUCAAGAUUGUCAAUAACCAACCAAUAACUUAUCACAAAAUUUAUUUACAUAUUCUACAUAGUCCCACUCCUAAUUCUGUAGUAUCCUCGCAAACAUUAUUUAGCCUCAACUUAUAAAGACGUAGGAGUGUUGGCUUCUUCAGUUAAUGGCAUUGACUUACUAUCCUUUGAAUUCGUGACCUCUUCUUCUGCUACAUCUUCAUCAUCUGUCUCGAUGUUCGAGGAUUCUCCAUCCAAAUGUGCCAUCAGAUCUUCAUUCAACAAAUCCAAUUCUUGUACUUGAGACUCAAGAUGGUAAUUUGGUUGUUGCACUCCUCCAACAUCUUCUGCCAUUCUUUUGUCAAUUUCAAAGGUAUUUUCGAAGGUUUUGUCGCUUCCAAUUCUAAUAAACAUCCAAUUGGAUUGGCUCCAUGUUAGUCACAAUAAUACACUCCAAUGGUGGCAACUCAUCCUUGUGCCUCAUAUUGUGCUGUUUUUCCUCCCUAUUCAACUACUUUUUAGUCUUCUCAAUCAUCAUUGUAUUCUAAUACAAGCAAGCACUCACAACUAAUCUCUCAAAGUACACAUAUAUGGCUAUUUAUACAAAAGUAAAUAUGAUGCUUGUCAAGAGCCCCCCUCCUACUUCUUACUAUGGUCCAAUCAAUUGGAUCCACUCUCCCUUAUUUUCCACGAUUCAUCAUGAUGAAAUAUCCUACUAACUAACUCUGAUAACCAGUCUUUACUAUCAUUG
rnacentral:lncRNA from 1 species